UUGAACGCUGGCGGAAUGCUUUACACAUGCAAGUCGAGCGGCAGCGCGGGGCAACCUGGCGGCGAGCGGCGAACGGGUGAGUAACAUAUCGGAACGUACCCUAUCGUGGGGGAUAACACAUCGAAAGAUGUGCUAAUACCGCAUACGACCUGAGGGUGAAAGCGGGGGAUCGCAAGACCUCGCGCGGACGGAGCGGCCGAUGGCAGAUUAGGUAGUUGGUGGGAUAAAAGCUUACCAAGCCGACGAUCUGUAGCUGGUCUGAGAGGACGACCAGCCACACUGGGACUGAGACACGGCCCAGACUCCUACGGGAGGCAGCAGUGGGGAAUUUUGGACAAUGGGCGAAAGCCUGAUCCAGCCAUGCCGCGUGCAGGAUGAAGGCCUUCGGGUUGUAAAGCUCUUUCGGCAGGAACGAAACGGUGCGGGCCAAUACCCCGCAUCAAUGACGGUACCUGAAGAAGAAGCACCGGCUAACUACGU
rnacentral:rRNA from 1 species